rnacentral:rRNA from 1 species
AGACGGGGGCCCGCACAAGCAGCGGAGCGUGUGGUUUAAUUCGAUGCAACGCGAAGAACCUUACCAGGGUUUGACAUGCUUAAAGUAGAAACUCGAAAGAGGGACGACCUGUAUCCAGUCAGGAGUUUGCACAGGUGCUGCAUGGCUGUCGUCAGCUCGUGCCGUGAGGUGUUAGGUUAAGUCCUGCAACGAGCGCAACCCUCGUCGCUAGUUGUUUUCUCUAGCGAUACUGCCCGUAUAACGUGGAGGAAGGUGGGGAUGACGUCAAGUCAGCAUGGCCCUUACAUCCUGGGCUACACACACGCUACAAUGGGUGAUACAACAGGUUGCAAUAGAGUAAUCUGGAGCUAAUCCCUAAAAUCAUCCUCAGUACGGAUUGCAGGCUGAAACUGCCUGCAUGAAGUUGGAGUUGCUAGUAAACGCAGGUCAGCACACUGCGUUGAAUACGUACUCGGGCCUU